GGAAACCGUUUGCAAGUAAACAGAUGGACCCACGAAGUUCCUGUUGAGUGAGAGAUUCACAUACUUUUGAAGGCGAAUGAGAAUAGUGUAUCCCUUCGGGGUUUAGCUAUGAUCAUUGCAGUCAACAAAAUGAUGCAUUUCUCUUGCUCACGUUGGAGCUCUGACUGCUCAUUGAAUGUAAUUGGUUGCUUGAGUAAAUGAUAUAGUUUCUUCGGGAACUAAACUUAUUUACUUGGGUGUAUGAAUUAACAUUUUGAUGAGUAGGUGAAUUACUUACAAUUGUAGGUGUUCAGAUCAUGAGCUAUGGUAGUGAUGUUAAGUGGCUGUUGUAUUGGGUUGUUCUUGACUUGUGCUUGAAAACUCAUUACAUAUCAACACUUGCAAACUUUCAUUCACUCAUACUCAUUGAUGAUCCAGAGUAAGUAGGUCGGUCAUCCAUCUGACCCGUCUUGAAACACGGACCAAGGAGCCCAACAUUUAUGCGAGUCGCACGGUCUUGAAUAGGCCUGUGAGGCGAAAUAAACAUAAUGGUGUGACCUCUGACGCUUGCGUUUGAGAGCAACACCAACCUGUUCAUACUUGCUCUGUAAGUUGAACGGCGUUUGAGCAUAAAUGUUGGUACCCGAAAGAUGGUGAACUAUACUUGGGCAAGACGAAGCCAGAGGAAACUCUGGGUGGGAGGUCUGUAGCGANUUCUGACGUGCAAAUCGAUCGUCAGACCUGAGUAUAGGGGGCGAAAGACUAAUCGAACCAUCUAGUAGCUGGUUCCUUCCGAAGUUC
rnacentral:rRNA from 1 species